AACGAACGCUGGCGGCAUGCCUAACACAUGCAAGUCGAACGAGACCUUCGGGUCUAGUGGCGCACGGGUGCGUAACGCGUGGGAACCUGCCCUUAGGUUCGGAAUAACUCCCCGAAAGGGGUGCUAAUACCGGAUAAUGUCUUCGGACCAAAGAUUUAUCGCCUUUGGAUGGGCCCGCGUUGGAUUAGCUAGUUGGUAGGGUAAAAGCCUACCAAGGCGACGAUCCAUAGCUGGUCUGAGAGGAUGAUCAGCCACACUGGGACUGAGACACGGCCCAGACUCCUACGGGAGGCAGCAGUGGGGAAUAUUGGACAAUGGGCGAAAGCCUGAUACAGCAAUGCCGCGUGAGUGAUGAAGGCCUUAAGGUUGUAAAGCUCUUUUACCCGGGAUGAUAAUGACAGUACCGGGAGAAUAAGCUCCGGCUAACUCCGUG
rnacentral:rRNA from 1 species